CCUACGGGAGGCAGCAGUAGGGAAUAUUCCACAAUGAGCGAAAGCCUGACGCAGCGACGCCGCGUGAACGAUGAAGGUCUUCGGAUCGUAAAGCUCUGUCAGAAGGGAAGAACAUUCGCUGUAGUAAACGGUUGUAAAUUGACGGUACCUGCACAGAAAGCGCUGGCUAACUCUGUGCCAGCAGCCGCGGUAAUACGGAGGGUGCAAGCGUUAUCCGGAAUUAUUGGGCGUAAAGCGUUCGUAGGCUGUUUGUUAAGUCUGGGGUAAAAUCCCGGGGCUCAACCUCGGCACGCCUUUGAUACUGGCAAACUAGAGUUUGUGAGAGGAAAGUGGAAUGCCAUGUGUAGCAGUGAAAUGCGUAGAUAUAUGGAAGAACACCAGAGGCGAAGGCAGCUAACUGGCUCUAAACUGACGCUGAGGAGCGAAAGCGUGGGUAGCAAACAGGAUUAGAUACCCGUGUAGUC
rnacentral:rRNA from 1 species